ACUAACUAAAUUUCCUUUUUUUUCUUUUUUUUUUUUUUUUAUACAAAAACAAGUAGUCAAACUAGGUAAGAUUUGACCAUUUUCGCGCACAUACCAAAACUAUUUGUUGACAUCUAAAUGAUGAUCACUAAUUUGAUGCUAGAGAAAGAUCAGUAGGAGAGAUAAUUGUUUGGAGGAAGCUAUUCAAAUUUGCAUGCAUUUCUUCAUCCUCGAUAUGCCCAUUUAUAUAUUUCUAAUUAGGCCUUGGAGGUAAAUGAGUCUUGUUAUUGGUGAUAUGUGGCUGUUAAUGAUUGAUUGACUGACUUUUAACUCAUUCUGUUAUCUGCUCCCAUUUUGUUCACCAACUAAUGCUUAUACAUUUGUUAAAGUAUAUUAGGUCACGUUAUGCACUUAAGGUCGCAUAAGCCUUAACUCUUUAGAGUGGUUGCUUAGAUGCACAAACUCAUGAAUAUUUUAUUGAUAACACCAUUAAUGGGUCACUCAUAUUAGAGCACAGUUACACGCCAUAGUCCAACAAUCAUGCUAUCAAUACCACAGAUAAAUUAAGAACCAAAGUUUGCAAAAAAAUCAAACUAUUUUGAUCCAAGAAUUGGAUCGAACAAAAAGAAGAUCCAAAUAAACAUAAACUAACUAAUUUUUUUUUUUUAAAUUUUAUUUUACAAAAACAAGCCGUCAAACUAGGUAAAAUUUGACCAUUUUCGCGGCACGUACCAAAGCCAUUUGUUGACAUAUAAAUGGUAAUCAUUAAUCUGAUACUCAAGAAAGAUCAUUAGGAGAGAUAAUUGUUUGGAGGAAGCUAUUCAAACUUGCAUGCAUUUCUUCAUCCUCAAUAUGCCUAUUUAUAUAUUUCUAAUCAGGCCUUGGAGGUAAAUGAGUCUUGUUAUUGGUGAUGUGUGGCAGUUAGUGAUUGAUUAACUUUUAGCUCAUUCUGUUAUCUGCUCAUGUUUUGUUCACCAACUAAUCCUUAUACAUUUGUUAAAGUAUAUUAGCUCGCAUUAUGCGCCUAAGGUGCAUAAACCUUGACUCUUCAGAGUGGUUGGUUAGAUACACAGACUCAUGAAUAUUUUAUUGAUAAAACCAUUAAUGGGUCAAUCAUAGUCGGGCGCGGUAACACGCCAUGGUCCAAGGAAAGUUCCCUAGCCACUUCAUUCGGGUCAGUUCUUGCAUGAUACAAUGGCACAUGUAGUACACGCUCAUGGACCUCACGCACACGAGGCAUAUUUUGCAAAAUUGAUCAUGCUUUUGGAUUCCUUUGACCUGUUUAGAUAUGCAGAAGAUAUCGUAACAAGUUAAUAUGAAAAGAUUACACACUUCCUUAUACUGAGUUAGUGUGAAUAUAUUUCUCAUGCGGUUAAAGCAAAGGACAUGAUUGUUAUAUAUUAUUUUGCCAUCGUAUCGGAUAGAGCCAGCAUUGAGAUUUUGGAUGCCUUGUGCGAGAUUUUAAAAUGGCGCCCUUUUCAAGUAAUUAAAACAUAUAUUAAAAAAAUAAAUAAAUUUAAUAAUAUUAUUUCAUUGCAAAAAUAUGAUAUUUAAAUAUUUGUUUUUUUUUAACAUACAUGAACAAGAAAAACAUAAAAAAAAAAGCUCAAAAACAUCUCUUGAACUUCAUCAAAAUUUAUAUGUCAUCAACAAAGAAUCAUCUAAGCCAGUAGCCUCUUCGUGCAAUUCUAUAUAAGCAAACCUUGAAAAAUAUAUAUAAAUCAAGUCAAGUGAAGCUUGAAAUGCUACAAAUCAUGUAAAAAAU
rnacentral:lncRNA from 1 species